rnacentral:rRNA from 1 species
GACGAACGCUGGCGGCGUGCUUAACACAUGCAAGUCGAACGGAAAGGCCCGGCUUUUGUGGGGUGCUCUAGUGGCGAACGGGUGAGUAACACGUGAGUAACCUGCCCUUGACUUUGGGAUAACUUCAGGAAACUUGGGCUAAUACCGGAUAGGAGCUCCUGCUGCAUGGUGGGGGUUGGAAAGUUUCGCCGGUUGGGGAUGGACUGGCGGCUUAUCAGCUUGUUGGUGGGGUAGUGGCUUACCAAGGCUUUGACGGGUAGCCGGCCUGAGAGGGUGACCGGACAAGUUGGGACUGAGAUGAGGCCCAGACUCCUACGGGAGGGAGCGCUGGGGAAUAGUAUACUAUGGGAGGAAGCAUGAUGUGACACAGCAGCGUGGGGGAUGACGGGCUGCGGGUUGUAUAGCGAUUUCGCCUGUGACGAAGCGUGAGUGACGGUAAUGGGUAAAGAAGCACCGGCUAACUACGUG